UACACACUAAGGAACACAGGUUCAAUGCA
rnacentral:piRNA from 1 species